UCCGACGCCGGCCGGCCCGCCGCGCGCCCCCCGCCGUUGGCGCCGGCAUGUCGGGCCCCGGGCCGCGGGAGCCGCCGCAGGCGCAGGCGGGCGGGCCGGCGGGCCCCGAGGGCGCGGACGCGGCGCUGGGCGAGGCGGGGCUGAGCUUCACGACCACCGACCUGAGCCUGGUGGAGAUGACGGAGGUCGAGUACACGCAGCUGCAGCACAUCCUCUACUCGCACAUGGAGGCGGCGGCCGAGGGCGAGCUCGAGACGCGCCUCAACUCGGCCUUCCUAGCGGCGGGGGGCGCGGCGGCGGCGGGGGGCGCGGCGGCGGCGGCGGGCGGGGGCGCGGCGCCCGUGUACCCGCUGCUGUGCCCGCCGGCGCUGGCCGACGGCGGCUUCGCGGGCGCCAACCCGUGCCUGGGCCACAUCGACUUCCAGGAGCUGCGCAUGAUGCUGCUGAGCGAGGCGGGCGCGCCCCCCGCCGCCGCUGCCGCCGAGAAGACGCCGGGCGCCGACGGCCCGGGCCCCGGCGCAGCGCGGCCCAAGGCGCCCGACGCCGCCGGCAAGGAGAACGUGGAGGGCGCUGGCGAGGCGCGGGCCAAGUCGGCGGUGCGCGUCCGCCUGGAGGACCGCUUCAACAGCAUCCCCGCCGAGCCCCCGCCCGCCCCGCGCGGCGCCGAGCCCCCCGAGCCCGGCGUGGCGCUCAACAAUUUGGUGACUCUUAUUCGACAUCCAUCUGAGUUAAUGAACGUUCCUCUUCAUCAGCAACAAAACAAAUGCACAGCGUUAGUGAAAAAUAAGACCGCCGCCGCCGCCACGACCCUGCAGCUCACCUACCCCCUGUUCACUGCGAACGCCUGCUCCUCUGGCGGGGGCACCAGCCUCUCUCAGACGCAGAGUUCUAAUAACUCCUGUUCUAUACUGGAGGCUGCCAAACAUCAGGAUAUUGGAUUGCCGAGAGCAUUUUCUUUCUGUUAUCAACAAGAAAUUGAAUCCACGAAGCAGACUUUAGGUAGUAGAAACAAAGCUUUGCCUGAACAGGUUUGGAUUAAAGUGGGAGAAGAAGCGCUGUGCAAACAAGCGAUAAAUAAGAGGAAUCGGAGUAGGAUACGUCAGUUGGACACCAGUGUGGAGCGAAGAGCCCUCGGAGAGAUUCAGAACGUGGGUGAAGGUGCCACCACCGCCCAGGGCUCCUGGCAGUCUGCAGAGUCAUCACAGUCUCAUCUUGGGGAGCAGUCCCAGAGCGCCCCGGGCGGAAGGUCACAGCGCAGGGAAAGGCACAACCGCAUGGAGAGGGACAGAAGGCGCAGAAUCCGCAUUUGCUGUGAUGAGUUGAAUCUUUUGGUCCCGUUCUGCAACGCCGAGACAGAUAAGGCCACGACCCUGCAGUGGACCACUGCGUUCCUAAAGUACAUUCAGGAGCGCCAUGGAGAUUCUCUUAAGAAGACCCCUAGCAAGAUGUGACGUAAGUUUGGGAACCAGUGACCCAGGUACAUGCCCUUGACCGGAAUGGAACCCAGAGCUUUCUGGUGCUCGGGCUGACGCUCUAACCACUGACCCACGUUGGCCAGGGCUAACUGUAUAUUUUGAAGAAUUUGAGAGUGUGUUUUGCGGGAAAACUGGCAGGAGGCUAAAGUUGACCAGACCAGACUCCCUGGCGACGUGCCCCGCGCAGGAGAGUCUACAGAGCAGCCCUGCCAUGGAGAUCAAGUGAGCAGACUGGACACUGGUUCCUGGAAGCAGGCGGCCUCUGCCCGGCCGUGGGCGUGUCCCAGCCUGGAGCUCUGCGCCAGCCGCCAACUCUCGAGGGACAUGACUCAAGUUGGAACUCCAGUGGGGACUUUGAAAGCACAUUUUGUAAAAAUAUUUAGAACAAAAUAUAAAACAAAAUAUUUGUCCAUUACUGUCCUCUUAGACCAUUGGGAUGCAGACACUGUGACAAUUAGUAAUUUUUCAAUUAUCUGUCUGAUUCCAUCAUGUUUUCUUAACAUGAUAACUUAACAAAUGAACACCCUUUGUAAUUUCUUUAGUCUUACAGGUACACUGCUUUUUACUUAUUUCCUUUACAUUUAAAAACGCCCCCUUAGCAAUUGGAAAAGUCAAAAUGUUCUUCACUAGAAGUAGUUUGGAAAUUCAUUUCAUUUGUUUAUCGCCUCCCCUUGCAACGACUUCCAGUCACAUGGACUGCAUUGCAGAAUUUUGCUAGGAAACUUCCAGAGACAUCUUUAAAGCUCCUUUGUCCAUAGAUGAGAUGUUGUCACCGUGGGCUGCUUUGGUGACCUCACUUUCACACUGAGUCAGUACUUUAUGUAAUAAACUAUUGUUCAGAACUGA